AGUAGAGAGUGGUGGAGAGAAAGAGAGAAGGUCAGAGAGGUCAGUAAAGUCCAGACCAUGCACAGCUUCAGGUCAGGUGAAGAAUGGGAAGCUAUUGGCAGAUUUUAAGCAGGGGAAUGUCAUGAUCUAAUGUUUUCAAAAGACCACUCUAGCAGGAGUGUGGUGGAGUGAGAGUGGGUGUGGGAAGAGCAGUUAUAUGACCAUUUAAGCGAUCUUAGCAGACAUGAUGGCAGCUCUGCAAUGAAGACCAGGAGAUGAACACGGGAUACAUUUUGGAGUUGUAGCUGAUCGGGCAUACUGAUGGAUUAGAGGGGGGUAGCAGUAAGCAAGUGGUUGAUGCUGUUAGCUGGGACUCAACUGGGGCUAUCUGCCAGAACUCACACAUGUGGUCUCCUCAUGUGGCAUGGACUCCCUCACAUCAUGGCAACCUAAGACUUCUUAUAUAGCAGCUCCAGGCUCCAAAGGGGUCUUUGAAGAGUUCACCCAGGAGCUUCAAAAUGAGGAACAGUGCUUGCAAUUUCCUUGAAUACUAAGAACAUCCAGCUAUUUGUAGACAGAUAAAAGAGAGCAGCCCCCAGAGGUGCUGAUCCAGCCAAGAUAGCUCAUCCAGGUAACUGCACUGGGGAAAAGAUUAUAUCCAAAACUUUUGGAUUGCUCGACAUUAGAUGUUAACUCUGAGCUAAUACUAAUUUCCAGGGACCCAGAAUGAACUUAUCAAUGGAUAUCAGGAAUGGAGAUGACACAUGAAUAAGCACAGUAACAAGGAUUUCCCCUCACCAGGAUGACGUGGCCUUUGCCAUUGCUGAGAACCCAUUUUGCACGCAAUGUUUUCCCGGAUAAUAAAUGACACAGCUGGGAUUUAUUCAGGUGUUCUGACUCCAAAGUCCUUGCUCCUGAUCACCAUGCGCUACCGACUUUGAGCAGUGAUGUCUCACAGAUGGGAAUGAUUCCUCUGAAGAUUGAAUAGAGAAUGCCACCAUGUGAAGUGAUAUUUGAGCUGGAACCUGAGUGAAUGAUGGAAUGGAGAAGUCAGGUACAGAGCUGUGGGGAUAGCAUCACAGGUAGGUGGGAUAGGACAGGCAAACCUCCGGAGGUGGGAGCAGAAUUGGUGCAUUGGCUGUGGUACCUUUCCAUGAUUUCCUCAUUCCAGUGUUCAUAUCUUUAGAAGAUCUCAACCCAUUGAUUGUAGGUGAUAUCUGUGAUUUACUCUAGCCAAUCUAUAUAACAUGACAAAAAUGAUGGAUGUCACUCCUGUAAUUAUUUUAUGUGAUGAUCCA
rnacentral:lncRNA from 1 species